rnacentral:rRNA from 1 species
AUUGAACGCUGGCGGCAGGCCUAACACAUGCAAGUCGAACGAGUGGCGGACGGGAGAGUAAUGUCUGGGAAACUGCCCGAUGGAGGGGGAUCACUACUGGAAAAGGUAGCUAAUACCGUAAACCCUCGGAUGUCCCCCGAUGGGAUUAGCUAGUAGGUGGGGUAACGGCUCACCUAGGCGACGAUCCCUAGCUGGUCUGAGAGGAUGACCAGCCACACUGGAACUGAGACACGGUCCAGACUCCUACGGGAGGCAGCAGUGGGGAAUAUUGCACAAUGGGCGCAAGCCUGAUGCAGCCAUGCCGCGUGUAUGAAGAAGGCCUUCGGGUUGUAAAGUACUUUCAGCGAGGAGGCGUUACUCGCAGAAGAAGCACCGGCUAACUCCGUGCCAGCAGCCGCGGUAAUAC